rnacentral:tRNA from 1 species
GGACCCGUGGUGUAGGGGUAAGCGCGAUUGCCUCUCACCCAAACAGCCUGGGUUCGAUCCCAGACGGUUCCG